rnacentral:misc_RNA from 1 species
GAUGAAGAACGUAGCGAAAUGCGAUAAGUAGUGUGAAUUGCAGAAUUCAGUGAAUCAUCGAAUCUUUGAACGCACAUUGCGCCCUUUGGUAUUCCAAGGGGCAUGCCUGUUCGAGCGUCAUUUGUACCCUCAAGCUUUGCUUGGUGUUGGGCGUCUUGUCUCUAGCUUUGCUGGAGACUCGCCUUAAAGUAAUUGGCAGCCGGCCUACUGGUUUCGGAGCGCAGCACAAGUCGCACUCUCUAUCAGCAAAGGUCUAGCAUCCACUAAGCCUUUUUUUCAACUUUUGACCUCGGAUCAGGUAGGGAUACCCGCUGAACUUAAGCAUAUCAAUAAGCGGAGGA